rnacentral:rRNA from 1 species
UCAUGGCUCAGAUUGAACGCUGGCGGCAGGCUUAACACAUGCAAGUCGAGCGGGAGGGUAGCUUGCUACCUUACCUAGCGGCGGACGGGUGAGGUAAUGCUUAGGAAUCUGCCUAGUUAUGGGGGACAACAUCUCGAAAGGGAUGCUAAUACCGCAUACGUCCUACGGGAGAAAGCAGGGGACCUUCGGGCCUUGCGCUAAUAGAUGAGCCUAAGUCGGAUUAGCUAGUUGGUGGGGUAAAGGCCUACCAAGGCGACGAUCUGUAGCGGGUCUGAGAGGAUGAUCCGCCACACUGGGACUGAGACACGGCCCAGACUCCUACGGGAGGCAGCAGUGGGGAAUAUUGGACAAUGGGGGGAACCCUGAUCCAGCCAUGCCGCGUGUGUGAAAAGAAGGCCUUUUGGUUGUAAAGCACUUUAAGCGAGGAGGAGGCUACCGAGAUUAAUACUCCUGGAUAGUGGACGUUACUCGCAGAAUAAGCACCGGCUAACUCUGUGCCAGCCGCCGC